AGCCUGCUUCGAGAUGAGUAUUCCCACCAACUUGAUUGGUUAAGGCUCCCAGUAGACGACUGGGUUGAUAGGCCAGAUGUGGAAGCCCGGUAACGGGUGGAGCUGACUGGUACUAAUAGGCCGAGGGCUUGUCCUCAGUUG
rnacentral:rRNA from 1 species